GAUGAACGCUGGCGGCGUGCUUAACACAUGCAAGUCGAACGGAAAGGCCGAAGCUUGCUUCGGUACUCGAGUGGCGAACGGGUGAGUAACACGUGGGUGAUCUGCCCUGUACUUCGGGAUAAGCUUGGGAAACUGGGUCUAAUACCGGAUAUGACGAUCUCUUGGAUGGGGUGGUGGAGAGCUUUUGCGGUGUGGGAUGAGCUCGCGGCCUAUCUGCUUGUGGUUGGGGUAUUGGCCUACCACGGCGUCGACGGGGAGCGGGACUGUGAGGGGGUAAGGCGACAUUGGGAGAGUGAGACAGGCCACAGUCCUACAGGGGGCGGAAGUGGGGAAAAUUGCACAAUGGGGGCAAGCCUGAGGCAGAGACGCCGCGUGGGGGAUAACGGCGUUCGGGUGGUAAACUCCGUUCGCGAUCGACGCAGCCUUUUGGUGACGGUAGGUGGAGAAGAAGCACCGGCUAACUACGUG
rnacentral:rRNA from 1 species